rnacentral:misc_RNA from 1 species
GAUGAAGAACGCAGCGAAAUGCGAUAAGUAGUGUGAAUUGCAGAAUUCAGUGAAUCAUCGAAUCUUUGAACGCACAUUGCGCCCGUCGGCAUUCCGGCGGGCACGCCUGUCCGAGCGUCAUCAGGAACCCAUCGGGCGGUCCCCUCGGGGACCGCCCGGCGUUGGGGCGCGCCGCCCGCGCCGUCAGGCGAAAGGCGGCGGCCCUCGAACCCCUCGGCGGUGCAUCGACGCGAGACCGACCGGCGUUGCGGAAUCGUCAAUCCGCCGGCGGCCGUCGAAGCUCCCUUCCGAAAGCUCCACGAGACGAAAAGGACCUCGGAUCAGGCGGGGUUACCCGCUGAACUUAAGCAUAUCAAUAAGCGGAGGA